UGAGGAAGAUUGGACGGGUCGACUCAUGACUAAAGUCCUAUAACCUGCUGUUUUCCGAUGCAAUUCUGCUAUAAUGCUACAAUGCAGUACAAAGAUCUGUCAUUAAACCCUGGGUAAGAUAUGGCCACAGUAAUAUGUUUGAACAAAUGGCAAUUCUUUGAUAAUUGUGACUGACUUUGUCAGAUCUGUUUUUUCAAAUGUUAUUCCAGUUUUAUUGGAGGAACAGACUUUAGCUCCAUUUGUUGAUGGAUUUUUCUCUGUCAAACACUUCAAAUCAUUCACUUCUAUUUAUAUCAACUAUAACAUUUGUUUUCUUCUUUUAAAACCGUAUUUCUGUCCUUUUUAACACGACAUGACCAAUAUUUAUUGAACAUGGGACAGUGAUACAGUGAGUGCUAACCACUGAACCCUGAAUGAACGGAGAAAACAAAGCUAAUACUGAAAAACAACAUGAUGUUUCAAAGAAAUGAGCUGAUCCUGACUGAGAUACGAGACUUAGAGGAAUUAAACCGAUCACAAACUAUAAUCUCAUAUUCUGCCAUUGGAUCAGUGAAAAUGUUCAAACUGGUUUUGCAUUGGUGGCAUAGGGGUUAGCCUCACCGGCCAGUCACAAGAUGGCCGCCACAUUUGCCAUGUCAACAAGCCUCAUGUCUGAUCUAGAGUUUUAUUGAAGAGCUUUGAUGUAGUAGCUGUGUCUUUUAGUUUACUCACCAGCUGAAUAUCUUUUUCUUUCAGAUUUUCCGAUGUGUUACAAUAGGACAACAUGAAGAAGAAGAUGACCCUCACUGUAUUAAUGCAACAUGAAGAGUCCUAAGGGAUUUUCUCUUCUACUGGAUCUCGGGUGUACAAGCACUGCACGAAGUUUCCGCACUACGUUCUGUUUCCUGUGUGAUGAGGGCACGUACAUGCCCAUUCCCACAGGAAUGACCCAGUGCUUCAGCUGUCGAAUAUGUGGUGCUGGGCUGAAAGUGAAGACCGCAUGUUCCACAAUAUCUAACACAGUGUGUGAAGCUCAGGAGGGACACUUCUGUGAGCAGCAGUCAGAAGGCAGCUGUGUGUCUGCUCGGAGACACAGCAAGUGUGAGCCGGGAGAUUUCAUCCAGGAACCAGGUAACAACACUCACUUAAAGCACAGUAUAAGUACUCCAGUGUCCAGUCCAUAGUCUACAUCAGG
rnacentral:lncRNA from 1 species